UGUGGAUUGUGACUAUUUAAUUAGGCGAGACCACA
rnacentral:misc_RNA from 1 species